AUUGAACGCUGGCGACAUGCCUUACACAUGCAAGUCGAACGGCAGCACGGGUGCUUGCACCUGGUGGCGAGUGGCGAACGGGUGAGUAAUACAUCGGAACAUGUCCUGUAGUGGGGGAUAGCCCGGCGAAAGCCGGAUUAAUACCGCAUACGAUCUACGGAUGAAAGCGGGGGACCUUCGGGCCUCGCGCUAUAGGGUUGGCCGAUGGCUGAUUAGCUAGUUGGUGGGGUAAAGGCCUACCAAGGCGACGAUCAGUAGCUGGUCUGAGAGGACGACCAGCCACACUGGGACUGAGACACGGCCCAGACUCCUACGGGAGGCAGCAGUGGGGAAUUUGGGACAAUGGGCGAAAGCCUGAUCCAGCAAUGCCGCGUGUGUGAAGAAGGCCUUCGGGUUGUAAAGCACUUUUGUCCGGAAAGAAAUCCUUGGCCCUAAUACGGUCGGGGGAUGACGGUACCGGAAGAAUAAGCACCGGCUAACUACG
rnacentral:rRNA from 1 species